rnacentral:tRNA from 1 species
GGGGGCAGAUAGGCUCCGGUGGGCUUCGCGGACUUCAACUCCGUCGUGGGGCACUCAGUGUCUCAGGUGGGUUCGACCCCCAUCUGUCCCCGCCA